rnacentral:rRNA from 1 species
UACGAAGGGGGCUAGCGUUGUUCGGAAUCACUGGGCGUAAAGGGCGCGUAGGCGGCCGAUCAAGUCGGGGGUGAAAGCCUGUGGCUCAACCACAGAAUUGCCUUCGAUACUGUUUGGCUUGAGACCGGAAGAGGUUAGUGGAACUGCGAGUGUAGAGGUGAAAUUCGUAGAUAUUCGCAAGAACACCAGUGGCGGAACGGCGGCUCACUGGCCCCGAUACUGACGCUGAGGUGCGAAAGCGUGGGGAGCAAACAGG